rnacentral:lncRNA from 1 species
CUCCUCCUCCUCCUCCCGCGCCCCCCGUGCAGCCACCUGCUGCACUUGCGCACUGGGAGCGACACGCUCGGGCAUAAGUAGUGCCGGAAAGUUAGCUGCCGAGACCUGGUGGAUUGCUUUUCGUUUAUCAGUGCAGGAAAACAGCGCUAUAGUAUGCGUCACAACUAGCGCAGACUCCGGCAGUAUUUAGGCGGUGCGGCUUGGGAACUAGAAUCCACUUCCUGUCUUCCGCCUCAGGCUAGAGGGCGAGCGCUUCGCCGUGGGACUUCUUCUGCCUGGCUCCGCCUUUUGCCCCGGAAGUACUCACAGCGGACGGUGGUUUUUGGGCCCGUUUCUGAGCAGCGCUUCCUUUUUGUCCGACAUCUUGACGAGGCUGCGGUGUCUGCUGCUAUUCUCCGAGCUUCGCAAUGGUAAGCUUCAGGGGUGUGAAGUCGCCGGCGUUCUUGGGUUUGAGGACUCAGUGGGGAGAGCCUUCGGCGGGAGCGCUCCUUGGCCUGCCGGCCUCGGUUGCAGGGCGGGCGCGGUUAUUGCUUGGCCCAUGUGCUCUGGUGGUGGAGUUUGCGGGGGCUGAGGGCGCAGUAUUAGGGGACUUUGGCGCUAUUUGAGGACCUGGUUGCAUUCCCGCUGCCCUCCUACAGCCGCCUAAGGACGACAAGAAGAAGAAGGACGCUGGAAAGUCGGCCAAGAAAGACAAAGACCCAGUGAACAAAUCCGGGGGCAAGGCCAAAAAGAAGGUAGAAAUAAGACCUCUCUGAAAGAGACUAGGGGUAACUCUCUCGUAAUCCUCUAGUAAUAGGUAACUUGUAUAGUAAGUGGUUUUUCAGGUGUAGAUUUCUAGAGUCAAAAUGUGAGAGUUUAUCUUCCCGUCACCACUCGUUCUUUUUCCCAUUAGGAUCAUGAAAAUGGGUCUGUUGUGCGAAGUGUCUGCCGCUGUGCCUGCUGUGUUAUUUUUAACUGAUCUAGUGGGGCUCGGCCCCUGUUUGAAGGCCAAAAACGUGUCGGUGUUUUUUUUUUGUUUUUGUUUUAGUAAUGUGUAAUUUAUCCUUGAUAACGGUGGAACAGAUUUCUCUGACGCAGAUUACUCGAGAGGGAAAGGGUGCUUCUGCCAGAAAUACUAACUUGUUUCUGUUUUGUUUUGGUGAGCAGAAGUGGUCCAAAGGCAAAGUUCGGGACAAGCUCAAUAACUUAGUCUUGUUUGACAAAGCUACCUAUGAUAAACUCUGUAAGGAAGUUCCCAACUAUAAACUUAUAACCCCAGCUGUGGUCUCUGAGAGACUGAAGAUUCGAGGCUCCCUGGCCAGGGCAGCCCUUCAGGAGCUCCUUAGUAAAGGACUUAUCAAACUGGUUUCAAAGCACAGAGCUCAAGUAAUUUACACCAGAAAUACCAAGGGUGGAGAUGCUCCAGCUGCUGGUGAAGAUGCAUGAAUAGGUCCAACCAGCUGUACAUUUGGAAAAAUAAAAC